UAAAAAGUGCUCCUGUGCAGCAGCAGACAAGGCAUUCGUCUCUGUAUGCUACUGCCUGACAAUUAAAAUUAAAAAGACUUAACCUUACGUAAUGAAAAUGAUUCUUAUUGUAUUAGUUUUGCAUACAUUAUUUGUGUGUUUCUUUACAGGUGUUCACUGCCAGGUAAAGCUGGAAGAAUCUGGCGGCAGAGCGGUGACACCCGGAGCCAGCCUGCAACUGAACUGCAAAGCCACCGGGUUUGAUUUUGGCCCGGGUGGUUAUGGUAUGAGCUGGGUCCGACAGCAGCCCGGGAAGGGGCUUGAGUGGGUCGCCUACCAUUAUACUAGCAGUGAUGGUACAAACUAUAUCUAUUACUCCCCAUCGGUCCAGGGCAGGUUCACCAUUUCCAGAGACGUUCCUCAACGACUCCUGCAUCUGGACAUGAAGAACGUAAAAACCGAAGACACCGGCACGUAUUACUGUGCGAGAGACACAGUCACAGAGAACUGUGAGAGCUCCCUACAAUAUCCUGUCUGUCCACUGCUGGGUAGAAUGGGUAAUAUAAAAACUACAGGAGAGUCAGUCAAAAAUACGAUUACCGUCUUUUCAAAUGCACAAAAUGGGACUUUUUUUGAAACGCGAGAUUUUUGCAGGACAAACCAGACAGUCUUUGUAAAAAAAACUGCAAUUUUUUCCAAGAUGAAAGCUAAGUCUCAUGUGAUUUGA